rnacentral:lncRNA from 1 species
GCCGCUCAUAUUUACUUCUGUAUUUGUAAGCCAAACUUCUAGUCUUGUCCCUAGAGUCCGGCCCCUGCUCAUGACUGGAGAGCAGGCUACAGGAGACCCGCUCAGCAGCCGCUUCUGAACGGCCAUGCCCGCGAUGCUGUUGCUGUUGGUGUCGGUGGUCGCAGCGUUAGCACUCGCAGCACCGGCCCCCAGAACACAGAAGAAAAGGAUGCAAGUGAACCAGGCGCCCAACGUGGUGCUGGUCGCCAGUGACUCCUUCGUAAGUACCCAAAGGACGGGGAGCAGACACCGCCCAGAGCCUGUGGAGAAACAUCACAGGGAACAGGACCCUGGGGUUGAGAGGUCCCGCAUGCGCACACCUGCAAGCACGCAUGUGCAUACUAAUAAAGUAGUAGAAAGAAGCCAGUCUCUAACUCCUGGGCUUUGCUCCUUGAACUUUAUUCACUAGACCAGCAAUUCUCAACCUGUGGCUCUCGAUCCCUUGGGAGAGGUCGAGUCACCUUUUGCAGAAGUCACCUAAGACCAUCGGAAAUAUCAGAUAUUUACAUUACAACUCAUACCUAACAAAAUUACAGUUAUGAAGUGACAACAAAAAUAAUCGUAUGGUUGGGAGAGUCACCAUAAUAUGAGGAACUGUAUUAAACUGUUGCAGCAUAGAAAGGCUGAGAACCACUAAUCUAGACAUUCUAUACUUGUGUUAGCACUGAUUUAAAGAAGUUAUUUGUGUAUGCAUCACCUUAAAUUUGAUUUAAAUUCAUAUGGAAAGUGAAAGGACCUCGAAUUGGGAAGGGGAAAAAAACAUGAAAAAGAAGACUGAU